AAAAUGCCCAUGUGGCGUCUCGAACUGUCGGCGAGGUUGUGUCCGGCGUGGUGUGUAAAGUCUUUAACCAGCCUAAAGCACGUGCUAAAGAGCUUGGCUUGGACAUCUGCUUAAUGUACGUCGAGAUCGAGAAAGGAGACGUGGUUCAGGAGGAAAUUCUCAAAGGCCUCGACAAUAAGAACCUGAAAAUCGCCCUCGCCUGCGUGGAAGUGCUGAGACGGGCGCUGAGCAAGCAAACGAUUCGGCUCCUGUGGUUCGAGACGCCGCAUUUGAAGCUUUGGGCACGGUGCUCCAGGUGGUGGGCGAGAGGGCUGUGAGCCCUUUCCUGGCUGA